rnacentral:rRNA from 1 species
GAUGAACGCUGGCGGCGUGCCUAAUACAUGCAAGUCGAGCGAACAGACGAGGAGCUUGCUCCUCUGACGUUAGCGGCGGACGGGUGAGUAACACGUGGAUAACCUACCUAUAAGACUGGGAUAACUUCGGGAAACCGGAGCUAAUACCGGAUAAUAUAUUGAACCGCAUGGUUCAAUAGUGAAAGACGGUUUUGCUGUCACUUAUAGAUGGAUCCGCGCCUCAUUAGCUAGUUGGUAAGGUAACGGCUUACCAAGGCGACGAUGCGUAGCCGACCUGAGAGGGUGAUCGGCCACACUGGAACUGAGACACGGUCCAGACUCCUACGGGAGGAAGCAGUAGGGAAUCUUCCGCAAUGGGCGAAAGCCUGACGGAGCAACGCCGCGUGAGUGAUGAAGGUCUUCGGAUCGUAAAACUCUGUUAUUAGGGAAGAACAAAUGUGUAAGUAACUAUGCACGUCUUGACGGUACCUAAUCAGAAAGCCACGGCUAACUACGUG